GCCAGCAGCCAUAUCACUCUGCAACUUACAACUGGCAACCCACAGAAACUAAGCAUGUGUGAUCCUGGUCAGUACCUGGAUGGGAGACCUCCUGGGAAAAACUAAGGUUGCUGCUGGAA
rnacentral:rRNA from 1 species